rnacentral:tRNA from 1 species
UGUCGGCCAGCUGGUGGCGGCCAGCGGCGGCUACGACCUGCCGUCCUUCGCCAACCUGACCAAGUUCGACACCUGGGCGAACGA